GGAGAGCUAUCACACUUCUCUGUGUACUUCUAACCUUCCCACACCUCCUUAUUUCACAAAAGAUUAAUUUAUACUCACUCGAACAUUAGCAUGGUGUAGCUGGUUGCCAAGGAUACAGGGAGCUCUGAACCCUGACCGUCUUUUCCCACACCUCUGGGAUGACGCUGGAAUGAGAUAUCGCUCUCCAUCUGAGACCUCUACAGAAGAAGAGGGCAGGAUGACACCAGGUGAGAAACUACAGCAGGAUUAGGCUGCUCUGUUGAGGGAGCCAACUUCACAUCAGGACCUUCUGUAUCUGGGAAUUUCUCAAGGAUGAAAAAUGGUCUUUCUCUUCUGGCAGUUCUUAAAAAGAGCAAAGAAACUGGGUUGUGGCCUGAUCUUCAGAACGCCCAUUCAGUAUUUGAAAGGAGAGGUCAUGUUUGUCUCUGUGACAGAGGGAUGCUUCUAUCUCAGGA